AAGGGAGUCAGCAGGUCCUUUGAAUUUAGUACUGUCAAAAAACUUAUUUAGUAUGCAUUCCAGUCCUGCAUUCACAUCAUGUAUAAAAACAUCAGAGAGGACUGGCCUUAAAAUGCAGUCCUGUGGAGCCCUAGUAGUGACUGGCCACCAGCCUGAUGUGACCCCACUUACUUGAGCCCGACUGAUUGUUCAUGCAUUAGCUCAUGUUAUAAGUGUCAUUCAGACACCAGUCUUCUGAGAUGGGAAAGACCAAUGAUGAAAAGACCAGUGAUGUUUCUUCACUCCUUUCAGAAGAUAUUAACUGCAAGCUCCUCUCCCUGCCUGAGUCUAGUAUUGUCACACGGACAUAAAUAAAAUCUUAUUGAUGUUGUUAUGUUACUUCUGCAUGGUCAGAAUCGGAUUCCUUUUGGACUAGGCAAGUUCCUGUCUUGCAAGAGUUUGGGCGUUGCAGAGAACAACAGGUGAAGGCGUGAAGUGCAACACUGAGAAAACAUGCACAUGCACAUAGGAUAAUCUCAGUGUCCCAGUUGUGCACUUGCAUGGCUAGGUAAAACAGAACAAAACAAGACAGCAACCUGAAGGGGACAGAGUGAGUGACUGGCUAGGUCCUAGCUGCCUGCUGGGGCCACCCUCCAAAGCCACUUCUGGGACUGGAGAAGUAAGAUGUGAUGCCUUGGCAGUUGUUGAAUUUUUGAAACAGAGAACAGUCCUCCCAGUUUUCCUGUUUCACUGAUCUCAGAUUACACAUGCAUUACCUGUGAUCCUUGGAAAUGUAACAAGGUGCUAAAAUAAAUUAGAAAAUAAAGAUGUAAGCUUAAAAAG
ensembl:lncRNA